rnacentral:snRNA from 1 species
AGCUUUGCGCAGUGGCAGUAUCGUAGCCAAUGAGGUUUAUCCGAGGCGCGAUUAUUGCUAAUUGAAAACUUUUCCCAUAGCCUCUUUCCUUCCCAGCCAUUCAUGUCAGGUAGUCUUUCGUCCUAUACCUUUGGUACCUGCUUAAAAGCA